GGCAAGGUGGCCGAGCGGUCUAAGGCGCCACGUUAAGGUCCACCCUUAAUCUCCCUUCUCAUCCGAGAAAAUCCGUGGUCUCGAAAGGGGCGUGAGUUCGAAUCUCACCCUUGUCA
rnacentral:tRNA from 2 species